rnacentral:rRNA from 1 species
UACGAAGGGGGCUAGCGUUGCUCGGAAUCACUGGGCGUAAAGCGCACGUAGGCGGACUCUUAAGUCGGUGGUGAAAUCCUGGAGCUCAACUCCAGAACUGCCUUCGAUACUGAGAGUCUCGAGUCCGAGAGAGGUGAGUGGAACUGCGAGUGUAGAGGUGAAAUGCGUAGAGAUCGGAAAGAACACCAACGGCGAAAGCACUCUGCUGGGCCGACACUGACACUGAGAGACGAAAGCUAGGGGAGCGAAUGGG